GAUGAACGCUGGCGGCGUGCCUAAUACAUGCCAGUCGAGCGAACAGACGAGGAGCUUGCUCCUCUGACGUUAGCGGCGGACGGGUGAGUAACACGUGGAUAACCUACCUAUAAGACUGGGAUAACUUCGGGAAACCGGAGCUAAUACCGGAUAAUAUAUUGAACCGCAUGGUUCAAUAGUGAAAGACGGUUUUGCUGUCACUUAUAGAUUGAUCCGCGCCGCAUUAGCUAGUUGGUAAGGUAACGGCUUACCAAGGCAACGAUGCGUAGCCGACCUGAGAGGGUGAUCGGCCACACUGGAACUGAGACACGGUCCAGACUCCUACGGGAGGCAGCAGUAGGGAAUCUUCCGCAAUGGGCGAAAGCCGGACGGAGCAACGCCGCGUGAGUGAUGAAGGUCUUCGGAUCGUAAAACUCUGUUAUGAGGGAAGAACAAAUGUGUAAGUAACUAUGCACGUCUUGACGGUACCUAAUCAGAAAGCCACGGCUAACUACGUG
rnacentral:rRNA from 1 species